UUAUAUCAUAUAGGCUAUUUGGCGUAAUUUAGGACACUUGGAGUAGGUCCAUGAUAGAUGUAACUCAGUGUAAAAUGUCAGCGUUCAUCUGUUUAGACACUGAGUAUGAAUGGCGGCACAUAUUACAUCCAUUAUAAUUUGUUGUGUCGCGUUUUAUAACUGUAGCCUAUUAAAAACUGUAUGGGAUGAACAUGGAUGUUUUUUAUUUUGCGGGGUACAACACGUGAAAUUUGUCCUCGACCAGCCACUGUAGACUUUACUCACAGUAGGUCGUAGGUUGUUUUUUUUUUAGGGACGAUUGAACAUGAUAGCCUACCCCAAAUUCAACAGAUCAUAUCAACUAAAUAUAGUUUCCAGGGUAUAGGCUACUUUUCACUAUGACAUGUAGCAGCCUUUAUUAUCGCGAAGGGAGAAAGCUAUAGAUGCUUAAAAAUAACGAAACCGCGAUUUCUAUUGCUGAACCACUUCAAUAGUGCGAUUUUGAGAGACCUUUUACUAAGUGAAAUGUUGUAUAGAUUCAGCGUCAUUCUCACCCCGGAGUGUGCAAAUAUAGAGGUGUUUGUGUUGGGGUCCCGUCCGGAGAUGGGUCACUGGGACCCAAAAAAGGCAAUUUCGAUGAAACCAACGCACUCGGUUUUGUCGAAAGAAGAGCCCUGCCUCUGGAUCGCUGACGUGCACCUGACAGAGCCAUGUCGAGAGAGCCUGUGGUUUAAGUUUAUCAAACGUGUGGCGGAUAAUUUCAUCUGGGAAGGCAACGGUCCCCACCAUGACAGAUGUUGUGUGUUCGACCAGAGCAACCUGGUGGACGGGGUGUACUGCCACCCUAUUGGCCACUGGAUCGAAGAGACAGGUCACACGGAUGAGAUGAAGCACACGACUGACUUUUACUUUGGCGUUGCCGGCCAGCAGGCUAUGCAUUUCAGCAGAGUCCUGCCCCGGGUGUUUCUGGGUAGUUGCCCUCGCCAGGUGGAGCAUGUGACCCUCAAGCUGAAGGAAGAGCUGGGUGUUACUGCAGUGAUGAACUUUCAGACGGAGUGGGACGUGGUCAGCAACUCGUUCGGCUGCCGCCGCGACCUUGGACAGGACAUGACCGCGGAGACCAUGAUGCACCUGUACAGGGACUGCGGCCUGGCAUAUGUGUGGCUUCCCACCCCGGAUAUGAGCACGGAAGGCCGGACGAGGAUGCUGCCCCAGGCUGUUUUCCUGUUGUACGGUCUUCUGGAGAACGGUCACACAGUCUACGUUCACUGUAACGCUGGUGUUGGCCGCUCCACUGCCGCCGUGUGCGGUCUCCUCAUGUACGUUCUGGGCUGGAGCAAGAGGAAGGUGCAAUACUUCAUCACAGCCAAGAGGGCGGCAGUCUACAUCGACGAGGAGGCGCUAGUAAACGCCCAUGGGGACUUUAUUCAGAAGUUUGGACAUCUGCGCACCUCUGUUUGCUACACAUAGAUAUUAGGGAUGCUGCAAAGUUGUGGUAGGAUGUCUGUCACAGAAACAGUGGAAAAGUGCUGCAUCAAUCAUCUGCACACACUGCAUGAGUUAUGCAGACGAUGCAAGGUGAAUUAAUUUAAGUGAAAAUAAACAUCUGCACUCAUUCGAUCCAAAUAAAUUACCAGUUUAGUUGAGUGUCUAUCAUCAACAGGUCGAUGUAGAGAUAUCUUUAGGGAAUUUUACUCGCUGCCAACAUGGGUUUAAAAAGCUAUUAAUACUUCUCAUUGUGACUUCUAAUAGGUUUGUUUGGUAGCUUUGGGGUUUGUUUUUAGUUAUUUUGUGAAUAUUACUUUUUAUUAUUGUAUCAUGAAAAGGCAGUCCAGUCCAGGAACACUGCCUGUAAUAUUUAUAUUGGUGUCCGCUGGGUUUUCAGAAGGACCUUUUGUUCAACUCUUGUUUUUAUUAAUCAAUGAACAGAGCUGACAUUUCAAAAAGGCACCUUGAAGCUGUUGUUGUGGCAAUUGCUGGACUGCUAAUGGAAAACAUCUGACUGGGAGAGGGCUUUUAACUCUAGCUGGGUGCAGCCUUGGUUGCAACCAAGUAAGAGAAAAUAUAAACUGGGUCAGGGACAGAGUUGGUUGCAAGGUGAGGAUUUCAAGCCUUGAGGGUGAUACUGAGGUUAGAAAGAGAGAAGGAAUACAAACUGUUCUAUUUUCUAUUUUUCUCUGCAUUAUAUUCCUCAGAAAAGAGGAAUUACUUCUGUGUCACCUCAUAUACUUUAUAAGAGACAUUUUACCUUUUCAUGGUCCAUGAUGGCUCCCUGCAGAUAAAAAUGAUAGAGUUGCUUUGUUAUGUAGAAGCUUUAAUGCUGCUGUGAAUAAGAAAAUGCAAUUUCCUGCAAAAUAAAGAGGGAAAAAAUGAAUAACACAAACGCCAAAUCUGAAAAGCCGCCCUGCACACUCUCCUCUUCUUCGUCUGAAGAAAGCAUCCGCUGCCAGAGGAAGAACAGAACUACAGACUACUUUUUAGAGGGGUCUAUUAUUGCUUGCACCACGUCUGCAUUUGGACAUUCAUCAUCAUGAGAUGUCAAGCCAUCACACCUUUCCAGCUGAUUCUGUGUUGGUUGCUGUAAAAGCCACUCUUGCUAUAUUUUCAUCACUUUACUUCAGGGCUUCAGAGUCUUAUUAGGCGUCCUUAUUGGCUCUGCAAGCCCAAAUGUAGAUGUUUAAUAUUCAUUAAGGGUGCGGAGAGCUGCCUGUCCUGCCAUGCUCCUGUCUCCUCUCCCCUCAGACCAUAGCUGUCUUGGUAGGGCCUAAGGCUGUUUUUGAUUUGAUGUCUUUAGAUAAUGUGCUGUACUGUGUAGUGUGUGAGUGACAUGCAAGCACAUCUGAUUGAGCAGCGGUAUCUUUAUCUGAUGAGACUCUGAUGACAUAGUCACACUAAGCAACACAGCGUGCACUGAUAUGAAGGAUAUGGGUAACAUCCGGAGGCUGGAAAAAGCAGCACAGACAUCUCGAGUUGGCAGGAGUAGGGAGUUGAAUGACAGCUGUUUAUUACUGAUAUUAAUGCAUCGAUCAGCAGCUAGUAGUGACAUUGCUUCCGUGAGGAAAACACCUAAAUAUCUGUUUAUUUCCAGUCUAUUUAAUAAGCUGGUGUGUCUUCUACAACAUUGAGAUGAUAUAGCCUAGGACUAUAUAGGAGUAUGUAGUGAUUGUCCAUGAGCUGUGGAA